CGCGUAGGUAAUCUAUCCUUGUAUUUGGGAUAACAUCGGGAAACUGAUGCUAAUACCAAAUGGUCUUCAUUUCUGUUAGGGAGAUGGAGUAAAGGUGGCCUCUUCAUGAAAGCUACCGUAUAGGGAUGAGCCUGCGUACCAUUAGCUAGUAGGUGGGGUAAUGGCCCACCUAGGCUACGAUGGUUAGCGGGUCUGAGAGGAUGAUCCGCCACACUGGAACUGAAACACGGACCAG
rnacentral:rRNA from 1 species